AAGCCGCGAAUAGCUCAUUACAACAGCCAUCGUUUAUUAGAAUAUCGUUAUACUUGGAUAACUGUGGCAAUUCUAGAGCUAAUACAUGCAAUAAAUCUCUGCCCGCAAGGAACGAGCGCAUUUAUUAGAAUAAAAACCAAUCGGGUUUCGGCCCGUAAUUUGGUGAAUCUGAAUAACUUUGCCAAUCGCACAGUCCUAGUACUGGCGAUGUAUCUUUCAAGUGUCUGCCUUAUCAACUUUCGAUGGUACGCUAUACGCCUACCAUGGUAGUAACGGGUAACGGAGAAUAAGGGUUCGACUCCGGAGAGGGAGCCUGAGAAACGGCUACCACAUCCAAGGAAGGCAGCAGGCGCGCAAAUUACCCACUUCCAGAACGGAGAGGUAGUGACGAAAAAUAACGAGACAGUCCUCUUCGAGGUCUGUCAUCGGAAUGGGUACAAUUUAAA
rnacentral:rRNA from 1 species